rnacentral:lncRNA from 1 species
UUGAAUUCUAUAGCAGUCAGGCUCCAAGCCUAUAAUUGAUGAAUGUUUCUUUCUUGUUGCUAAUUGUUUCAUGUGUUCGCCAAUGUCUUCAAACUGCAACCAUGUAAAUGCAAAGACAAGUCAGCAACUGAUCCAUAAAUCAGAGGGAAGCAACUCAACAAAAUAUAUGUUAUAUGUUUUCUGAUCUGCAACAGUGAAUGAGACUUGACCACAAUAGGGAAACCCUAUGGAAUAAUUUAUCACCUUCCAUCUAGAAAACAAAAUAAAGUCUAAUGUCGAUGUUGCAUACUUUGUGUAUUUCUCUUCCAAGCAAGUUCCUUUUUAUCAGAUAUUGUAUGGUGCCUGCACCCUCCACCUUUUUAGUCCAUGUUUAUAAACUAAAGUUGGAAAUUCGUGUUGUCUUUAGUUCAACAGACAAGUUUGUUGCCUCGAUGCUGUUAAUAGAACCAGUUUCUCCACUUCAAGACAAAAGCUUCCAUUACAAUGCAUACUCCGCAAAUUUAGAUUUUUAUCAGCAACCUGCAAAAGAUACCAUUUUCAAACAACCAUGUGAGCCUCAAGUAAAAAUAUUCAUGAGUGAGUAGGAAACACAGAGUAAACUAUAUAAUCAUAGAUCUGAGAUUCAAAUCAAGAUGAUAUAAUUGCUAGCUCAUUUGGUGACAUCUAGGAACAAAAUUAUUCUACUUGUCUCCCUCAAUUUAUUUGCUAUAUAUGGAGCUGAUGGAAAAUACUAGGACUCAGACUUCAGAACAAGUUGUGCAUAUCAUCUCCUACUUUGGUAUCCCGCUAUUAUCUUCUCUAACAAGAGUAAAUGGAAAGAAGCGCAAAGAAGUCUCUGCACAUUCGGUGCAACAGUUUACCCUCUUCACCUCACCCACUUUUAUCACAAUUCCAGGAUCACUUGCAGAGAUUGAAAGACUCUGAAGCCACCAGAAUUUCUCUGUCAUCAUCUUCAAUAAGCCAAAAUCUAAUUGGCU